GCUAGAAAAUAUGGUAAUUAGGUAACACAGAAAAAACCAUACCCACUUCCCCCAUUACCAGUGCUAGCGACUGAGCAAACACUGAUACUGGAAGCACUCACAAAGUUUACACUUGCCUGAGGGAGUAUCUUCCAAACCUUCCUAUAAGGAUUCUCAUGCAGUGUCUCUGGACUCAUCUCCUCCCUUUUCUGUUUUCAUUCUACAAGCUUCUCUAGAGUUUUUAUCUGAGGAUGGGUUUUACAGGCAAUAUUCUCACAG
ensembl:lncRNA